CGGCCACCGCUAUAGGAAUUCGAUUAAGACAUGCGAGUCGAGAGUCUUCGGGACUCGGCGGACUGCUCAGUAACACGUGGAGAACGUGCCCUUAAGUGGAGGAUAAUCUCGGGAAAUUGAGGAUAAUACUCCAUAGAUCAUGGGAUCUGGAAUGACCCAUGGUUGAAAGUUCCGGCGCUUAAGGAUCGCUGUGCGGCCUAUCAGGUAGUAGUGGGUGUAACGUACCCCCUAGCCGACGACGGGUAUGGGCCUUGAGAGAGGGAGCCCAGAGUUGGAUUCUGAGACACGAAUCCAGGCCCUACGGGGCGCAGCAGUCGCGAAAACUUCACACUGGGGGCAACCCCGAUGAGGGAAUUCCUAGUGCUAGGACAUUUGUUCUAGCUUUUCUCAAGCGUAGAUAACUUGAGGAAUAAGGGCUGGGUAAGACGGGUGCCAGCCGCCGCGGUAAUACCUGCAGCCCAAGUGGUGGUCGAUUUUAUUGAGUCUAAAACGUUCGUAGCCGGUCUGGUAAAUCCUUGGGUAAAUCGGGAAGCUUAACUUUCCGACUUCCGAGGAGACUGCCAGACUUGGGACCGGGAGAGGCAAGAGGUACUUCUGGGGUAGGGGUAAAAUCCUGUAAUCCUAGAAGGACCACCGGUGGCGAAGGCGUCUUGCUAGAACGGAUCCGACGGUGAGGGACGAAGCCCUGGGUCGCAAACGGGAUUAGAUACCCCGGUAGUCCAGGGUGUAAACGCUGCAGACUUGGUGUUGGAGGCCCUUCGGGGGCAUUCAGUGCCGGAGAGAAGUUGUUAAGUCUGCUACUUGGGGAGUACGUCCGCAAGGAUGAAACUUAAAGG
rnacentral:rRNA from 1 species